AGGGGCAGCGGGGAGGAAGCUUGCUUUCUCCGCCGGCGACCGGCGCACGGGUGAGUAACACGUAUGCAACCUGCCCCUGUCAGGGGGACAACCCGCCGAAAGGCGGGCUAAACCCGCGUACAUGCCACCGGGGCAUCCCGGAGGCAGGAAAGGCUUCGGCCGGACAGGGAUGGGCAUGCGGCGCAUUAGGCAGUAGGCGGGGUAACGGCCCACCUAACCGACGAUGCGUAGGGGUUCUGAGAGGAAGGUCCCCCACACUGGUACUGAGACACGGACCAGACUCCUACGGGAGGCAGCAGUGAGGAAUAUUGGUCAAUGGUCGGGAGACUGAACCAGCCAAGCCGCGUGAGGGAGGAAGGUACAGAGUAUCGUAAACCUCUUUUGUCAGGGAACAAAAGACUGGGACGCGUCCCCGGAUGAGAAAACCAGAAGAUAAAGCAUCGGCUAACGCGGUGCCAGCAGCCGCGGUAAUACGGAGGAUGCGAGCGUUAUCCGGAUUUAUUGGGUUUAAAGGGUGCGCAGGCGGUCUGUUAAGUCAGCGGUCAAAGCCCGGGGCUCAACCCCGGCCCGCCGUUGAAACUGGCAGUCUCGAGUUGGAGAGAAGUAUGCGGAAUGCGCGGUGUAGCGGUGAA
rnacentral:rRNA from 1 species